rnacentral:rRNA from 1 species
CAGCACAGGUAGCAAUACUGGGUGGCGACCGGCAAACGGGUGCGGAACACGUACGCAACCUUCCUUUAAGCGGGGAAUAGCCCAGGGAAACUUGGAUUAAUACCCCAUAAGACAGUGGAGUGGCAUCACUCAGCUGUUAAAGCUACGGCACUUAAAGAUGGGCGUGCGGCUGAUUAGGUAGUUGGCGGGGUAAAGGCCCACCAAGCCGACGAUCAGUAACUGGUGUGAGAGCACGACCAGUCACACGGGCACUGAGACACGGGCCCGACUCCUACGGGAGGCAGCAGUAAGGAAUAUUGGUCAAUGGACGCAAGUCUGAACCAGCCAUGCCGCGUGGAGGAUGAAGGCCCUCUGGGUUGUAAACUUCUUUUAUUGGGGAAGAAAUCGGUGUUUUCUAACGCCGUUGACGGUACCCAUUGAAUAAGCACCGGCUAACUCCGUGCCAGCAGCCGCGGUAAUACGGAGGGUGCAAGCGUUAUCCGGAUUCACUGGGUUUAAAGGGUGCGUAGGUGGGUAGGUAAGUCAGUGGUGAAAUCUCCAAGCUUAACUUGGAAACUGCCGUUGAUACUAUUUAUCUUGAAUAUAGUGGAGGUGAGCGGAAUAUGUCAUGUAGCGGUGAAAUGCUUAGAUAUGACAUAGAACACCAAUUGCGAAGGCAGCUUGCUACACUAUUAUUGACACUGAGGCACGAAAGCGUGGGGAUCAAACAGGAUUAGAUACCCUGGUAGUCCACGCCCUAAACGAUGGAUACUCGACAUCAGCGAUACACUGUUGGUGUCUGAGCGAAAGCAUUAAGUAUCCCACCUGGGAAGUACGA